rnacentral:rRNA from 1 species
AUUGAACGCUGGCGGCAUGCCUUACACAUGCAAGUCGAACGGCAGCGGGGACUUCGGUCCGCCGGCGAGUGGCGAACGGGUGAGUAAUGUAUCGGAACGUACCAUUCAGUGGGGGAUAACUAUCCGAAAGGAUAGCUAAUACCGCAUAUUCUGUGAGCAGGAAAGCAGGGGAUCGCAAGACCUUGCGCUGAUUGAGCGGCCGAUAUCAGAUUAGCUAGUUGGUGAGGUAAAGGCUCACCAAGGCGACGAUCUGUAGCGGGUCUGAGAGGAUGAUCCGCCACACUGGAACUGAGACACGGUCCAGACUCCUACGGGAGGCAGCAGUGGGGAAUUUUGGACAAUGGGGGCAACCCUGAUCCAGCUAUGCCGCGUGAGUGAAGAAGGCCUUCGGGUUGUAAAGCUCUUUCGGCCGGGAAAAAAUCGCAUGGGUUAAUACCCUGUGCGGAUGAUGGUACCGGAAUAAGAAGCACCGGCUAACUACGUGCCAGCCGCCGCCGUAA